UACGAGGGGGCGAGCGUUGUUCGGAAUUAUUGGGCGUAAAGGGUGCGUAGGCGGUUUGGUAAGUCUUUUGUGAAAUCUCUGGGCUCAACUCAGAGUCUGGCAAGGGAAACUGCCGGGCUGGAGUGUGGGAAGAGGUGAGUGGAAUUUCCGGUGUAGCGGUGAAAUGCGUAGAUAUCGGAAGGAACACCUGUGGCGAAAGCGGCUCACUGGACCACAACUGACGGCUGAUGCACGAAAGCUAGGGGAGCAAACAGG
rnacentral:rRNA from 1 species